UCUGGAAAUGGAGAUCUUGGCUAACAAUGGCUUCAGUUUUGGCACAACAGUAUUUUAACUUCAGAAGUUCAUUUUUUACGAUCAUGUAGUGGUUUCUAGUCUCAUGGCACUUUGAUACCAGAGCUGUUAGUGCAGUAGAAAUAGAGAGCUACAUAGUAGCUUUAAAAAAAAAGCACAAAAAAAUUAAAAGCUGAACUCUCUACAUUGAAGAUCCGUUCAGUGGUGUGUAGCGUACAUACACUACACUUACCCCUAGCACAGGUCUGAACAGCCGUGUAGAUGGGGAGGCACUACUAAACAGACUAGAGUAAAGACACUCCUGAAGCCUAUUUUUUUUUUCUGAAUGUUUCUGUUUGGACCAUGAACUGAAAAAUCGACUAUUUGCUCAACUCUAAUUGUGACACUUCUAUGAAAAUGUAAGGCAUUUCCAAUCAUAGCUUUCCUACCUACGAAGAGGAUGAAUGAAAACUCUGUCUUCUUGAAUACCAGCUUCUUAUUCUUUAUGGUAUUGAGAUUGUAGAUCCCUUUUUUACCCUCCCCUUUGGGAUCCUAAUACACCAUUUUUCUCCCUGCCACUGUGAGCCAGAUUUAUCCACAGAACAGCCAGUCCUUCACCUCUUUUGCUGAGACGGUGCCCACAGAACAGAACUAAUAGGAGCAAAGUUACAGCACCAUAGCCUAUGAUGACGUAACGCUGUACUGUAGAUGAGCCUACCACAAUGGAAGAACACCGCCGUAGGAACACCACCUCCCUGAGCAACAGUAGCUAGAUGGACAGAAGCAUUCUUCUGUCGUCCUAGUCGCAUCUACACCAGAAGUUAGGUCGGCAUAGCUGCAGCACUCAAAAGCGUGGAUUUUUCUCACCCUUCAGCAUCACAGCUAUAUGGACUAGGCCUGAGACUACCAAAAAGGGUGUCAAUUGUAGGAUGACUUCUGUGUUGUAAACAUCUGUCCCCUUAGAAACUUGAUGGUUAACACAAAUUUAUGUCAUGUAACAGGUCACUAAGCAGAUGGUUAUAACCUGGUGUCAUUAUCAAACUGGAUUUGAAGAAUGUGGCCUUGAUGAUGUGAAAGAUUCUGUAUCCCAUUUCUAUAUCACCCCUCUCAUUUACUUCACUUAGACUGUACUCAGCUCAGCACAUGAAAUAAGGAAAUAAAAUUUAGCUUUCAAAUUUAAAUGUUUCCAGAAGGG